AUUGAACGCUGGCGGCAUGCCUUACACAUGCAAGUCGAACGGCAGCACGGGUGCUUGCACCUGGUGGCGAGUGGCGAACGGGUGAGUAAUACAUCGGAACAUGUCCUGUAGUGGGGGAUAGCCCGGCGAAAGCCGGAUUAAUACCGCAUACGAUCUACGGAUGAAAGCGGGAGACCUUCGGGCCUCGCGCUAUAGGGUUGGCCGAUAGCUGAUUAGCUAGUUGGUGGGGUAAAGGCCUACCAAGGCGACGAUCAGUAGCUGGUCUGAGAGGACGACCAGCCACACUGGGACUGAGACACGGCCCAGACUCCUACGGGAGGCAGCAGUGGGGAAUUUUGGACAAUGGGCGAAAGCCUGAUCCAGCAAUGCCGCGUGUGUGAAGAAGGCCUUCGGGUUGUAAAGCACUUUUGUCCGGAAAGAAAUCCUUGGCUCUAAUACAGUCGGGGGAUGACGGUACCGGAAGAAUAAGCACCGGCUAACUACGUG
rnacentral:rRNA from 1 species